GCCAAGAUUAGCAAAAACCCUCUUUUAUUGUAUGUUCUUCAUUUAACAACAUUAACAAUAACAAAGACGGUACUCGACUGACAAUCAAGGAAGCAUUUUGACCUGCACAAGUUUAAAGUCUUCAAGAAGCAAUAUCGUGUGAUGGUUCGUAUACUGUUUUUGUGGGUUUCGAUUUUAGCAUCAAUUGACAGAAUCUCUGCAAAGAAUAUACAAUGGGAGAAAAAACUGGGAGAUUUUUUUCGGUCAUGGAAAGUUGAAAGUUUUUUAAACGAAGACAAAAAGGUAAUGGAAAGAUUGAACAGAGUAUGGGC